UACGUAGGGGGCAAGCGUUGUCCGGAUUUAUUGGGCGUAAAGAGCGUGUAGGCGGCCGUACAGGUCAGCUGUGAAAACUCGAGGCUCAACCUCGAGACGUCGGUUGAAACCGUACGGCUAGAGUCCGGAAGAGGAGAGUAGAAUUCCCGGUGUAGCGGUGAAAUGCGCAGAUAUCGGGAAGAACACCCGUGGCGAAGGCGGCUCUCUGGGACGGUACUGACGCUGAGGCACGAAAGCGUGGGGAGCGAACAGG
rnacentral:rRNA from 1 species